AUUGAACGCUGGCGGAAUGCUUUACACAUGCAAGUCGAGCGGCAGCACGGGGGCAACCCUGGUGGCGAGCGGCGAACGGGUGAGUAAUACAUCGGAACAUGCCCAGUCGUGGGGGAUAACACUUCGAAAGAAGUGCUAAUACCGCAUACGUCCUGAGGGGGAAAGCGGGGGAGCGCAAGACCUCGCGCGAUUGGAGUGGUCGAUGUCAGAUUAGCUAGUUGGUGGGGUAAAGGCCUACCAAGGCAACGAUCUGUAGCUGGUCUGAGAGGAUGAUCAGCCACACUGGGACUGAGACACGGCCCAGACUCCUACGGGAGGCAGCAGUGGGGAAUUUUGGACAAUGGGGGCAACCCUGAUCCAGCCAUCCCGCGUGAGUGAAGAAGGCCUUCGGGUUGUAAAGCUCUUUCGGCAGGAACGAAACGGUGAGCUCUAACAUAGCUUGCUAAUGACGGUACCUGAAGAAGAAGCACCGGCUAACUACGUG
rnacentral:rRNA from 1 species